rnacentral:rRNA from 1 species
AUUGAACGCUGGCGGCAUGCCUUACACAUGCAAGUCGAACGGUAACAGGUCUUCGGAUGCUGACGAGUGGCGAACGGGUGAGUAAUGCAUCGGAACGUGACCAGGAGUGGGGGAUAGCCCGGCGAGAGCCGGACUAAUACCGAAUACGACCUGAGGGUGAAAUGGGGGGAUUGCAAGGCCCCUCGCUAUUGGAGCGGCCGAUAUCAGAUUAGGUAGUUGGUGGGGUAAAGGCCCACCAAGCCAAAGAUCUUUAGCUGGCUCUGAGAGGACGACCAGCCACACUGGAACUGAGACACGGUCCAGACUCCUACGGGAGGCAGCAGUGGGGAAUUUUGGACAAUGGGCGAAAGCCUGAUCCAGCCAUUCCGCGUGCAUGAUGAAGGCCCUCGGGUUGUAAACUGCUUUUGUACAGAACGAAAAGGUUUCUACUAAUACUAGGAGCUCAUGACGGUACUGUAAGAAUAAGCACCGGCUAACUACGUGCCAGCCGCCGCAGUAACAC